CUGUCGCCGCACCGGGGAACACCGUUACUGUCUGGGUAACGUUGGCACCGUCCUCCAUCUGAUUGCCCAGCUUUUCUGCGUUCGACAAAAGAAACCCAUAAAGCUUCUCCCCCUCCCCUCUCUGCUUGGCCACUGAUUCAUCACAGCUGCGUCCACUCUACUCAUCAACCGACCAGACCUUCUUAAGGAGCUCCAGGAUCAUCACUCAUCGCCAGACUCUCAUGCCCACGAGUGGACGCCCCGAAUCAGCUACAACCGAGCAGAACUUCACCCGAAGCUACCAACCUCUCCACAGAGCUUCAUCCAAAUGCCAAGCCUCAAGCCCGAGCCACAGCCGAACCUCCAGCCACGUCAAGAGCCGCAGCCGAAGCUUCUCUCUCUUCGCGUGCCACCACCGAACCGCAAGUCACGCUCCGGAAACCUCGACGGUUCUCCUUCCACGCCGCCCAACUGCCACAACUAAACAACUUACCACUGGAAAUAAAUAAAUUCCAUUACUUACCUUCACCUUCCUCCUGUCUUCCUUCCGGGUUCCAACAUCUGGGUCUGCCUAGUGUAGUUGCCAUGACAACAAUGAAAGAACUCAGACCUGCUGAAAAAGGAACAUUUAACUUUAAUGACCUCUAGUAAUUUGGUUUACCUUUCUGCUAGAGGUAUAAUG